rnacentral:rRNA from 2 species
CGCCGCGUGAGUGAUGAAGGUUUUCGGAUCGUAAAGCUCUGUUGUUAGGGAAGAACAAGUGCCGUUCAAAUAGGGCGGCACCUUGACGGUACCUAACCAGAAAGCCACGGCUAACUACGUGCCAGCAGCCGCGGUAAUACGUAGGUGGCAAGCGUUGUCCGGAAUUAUUGGGCGUAAAGGGCUCGCAGGCGGUUUCUUAAGUCUGAUGUGAAAGCCCCCGGCUCAACCGGGGAGGGUCAUUGGAAACUGGGGAACUUGAGUGCAGAAGAGGAGAGUGGAAUUCCACGUGUAGCGGUGAAAUGCGUAGAGAUGUGGAGGAACACCAGUGGCGAAGGCGACUCUCUGGUCUGUAACUGACGCUGAGGAGCGAAAGCGUGGGGAGCGAACAGGAUUAGAUACCCUGGUAGUCCACGCCGUAAACGAUGAGUGCUAAGUGUUAGGGGGUUUCCGCCCCUUAGUGCUGCAGCUAACGCAUUAAGCACUCCGCCUGGGGAGUACGGUCGCAAGACUGAAACUCAAAGGAAUUGACGGGGGCCCGCACAAGCGGUGGAGCAUGUGGUUUAAUUCGAAGCAACGCGAAGAACCUUACCAGGUCUUGACAUCCUCUGACAAUCCUAGAGAUAGGACGUCCCCUUCGGGGGCAGAGUGACAGGUGGUGCAUGGUUGUCGUCAGCUCGUGUCGUGAGAUGUUGGGUUAAGUCCCGCAACGAGCGCAACCCUUGAUCUUAGUUGCCAGCAUUCAGUUGGGCACUCUAAGGUGACUGCCGGUGACAAACCGGAGGAAGGUGGGGGAUGACGUCAAAUCAUCAUGCCCCUUAUGACCUGGGCUACACACGUGCUACAAUGGACAGAACAAGGGCAGCGAAACCCGCGAGGUU